AGUUGGAGCAUGAGGCUUGGUGAACACAUCAGCUAACUGGUUUGAAGUAUCAACAUGCAGUAGCUUUAGCACUUGUUGUUGCAGCUUCUCCCUGACGAGGUGACAGUCGAUUUCGAUGUGCUUCGUCCUCUCAUGAAAGACGGGAUUCUCAGCAAUAGCAAUAGCUGAUUUGCUGUCACAAUACAAUACAGCUGGAGAGUCCACAAUUAUCCCUAAAUCUUGCAGUAAGUAGAUUAGCCAUUGCAAUUCACAAGCUGUUGCAGCAAGGGCCAUAUACUCAGCCUCAGAGGAACUCCUAGAGAUGGUAACCUGCUUCUUUGAUUUCCAAGAAACAAAGGUGGUGUCAAGGAAAACACAAAAGCCUGUGAUAGACCUCCUGGUAUCUGGGCAUGCAACCCAGUUAGAAUCAGUGAAUCCUUUGAGUUGUAAGGAAGAGGUUGCUGAGAAGAAGAGUCCCUGCCCCGGAGCUGCUUUGAUAUACCUCAAUACCCUGUGAGCUGCUUGUAAAUGUAUAUCAGUAGGGCAAUCAAGAAACUGAGAUAGUUGUUGAAUAGCAUAGCUAAUGUCUGGCCUUGUGAUGGUCAAAUAUAAUAAUUUCCCCACAAGCUUCCUGUACUGAGUAACAUCUUCAAGCUUGUUGCCAAUGUGUCUACUAAACUUAACAGAUGUAACCAUGGGUGUUUUUACUGGCUUACAUUGUAAAAACCCUGUUUCUUCCAACAACUCCAAGUUUAGUUUUGUAGACCCAUUUGCAGCCUAUUGGCUCUUUGGCGGAGGGAAUAUCAGUGAGGAUCCAUGUAUUGUUGGCCUGCAAAGCACUGAUCUCAGCUUCCAUGGCCUGCCUCCAACACUCCUCUUUGAUGGCCUCAUUGUAGCUCUUAGGUUCUCUAGCAGUCAGGGCAUUCACAGCAAAGGCUUUGUACUCAUGUGACAGAUUAUCAUAGGAUAUAAAUUUGGAGAUAUCAUGUGGAGAUGUGUUCUUGGCAGCAACACUCUGACAAUUGUAAUCAUUAAGAUAAGUAGGUGUAGAUCUUACCCUGGCUGAUAUCCUAGGCUAGGGUAUUAAAGGUUCUGUAUCAGCAGGCACAUCCACCUGACUUGGUGCCAUAGGUUGAACUUCAGAGACCAUGGGAAUGUGCUCAUCAAUGUGUAAAUGUGUCACACUCUCAGAUGGCAGCACUAGAUCAAUAGGUUGAGCAUCAUGUGAAUUCUGAAAAGGAAACUUAUCUUCAUAAAAGGAAACAUCCCUGGAUAUCAUAAUCUCCUCUGUCUGUAUGUCAAAUAACUUGUAUCCCUUCACACCAUUAGCAAACCCCAAAAAAAUGCAUUUCCUAGCUCUUGGUGAAAACUUGUCUCUUUUACAGCUAGGGAUAACAGCAAAAGUCAGGCAGCCAAAUACUCUAAGAUGUUGAUACUUAGGCAUCUUAUCAAAAAGGAUUUGAUAAGGGAUUUGAUUGUUUAAAGUUGCUGAUGGGAGUCUAUUUAUUAUGUAGAUUGCAUGAAGGAUGCAAUCUCCCCAAAACUUCUCAGGCAGGCUGGCUUGGAACCUAAGAGCCCUUGCCACAGAUAGAAUGUGGCCAUGCUUUCUCUCAACAAUGCUAUUUUGUUGGGGAGUGUAUACACAAGAGGUUUGAUGUAUUAUGCCUUUACUUUGAUAGAAUUCUUUCAAUAGAAACUCAUUUCCAUUAUCAGAUCUUAUACAUUUUACAUUUUUCCCAAAUUGAGUGGUGACUUGCUCACAAAACCCCUGUAUAAGCUGUUGACUUCAUUUUUAUUUUUCAUGAGAUAAACCCAAGUCUCUCUACUAUGAUCAUCCACCAAGGUCAAGAAGUAUUGAUGACCAUAGAUGGUGGGAGUAUGAUAUGGUCCCAAGACAUCAGCAUGUAUAAGAUCAAAACAACUGUUUGAAAUUGAGAAGCUAGGCUAAAAAGGAAGCAUUCUUUGUUUAGCUAGGUGACAACAUUCACAAACAGUAGGCUUGUCAUUACAAACUGUAUUAUCUAAAGUGUGAAGAAACUUUAUUUUGCCUUCAGAGGCAUGACCCAACCUAGCAUGCCAUACACUACAAACAUUGACAGUAGGUUUACAAUGAGUAAAAGUGGGAAAAACCAGUUGGUACAGCCCUUUCUUCAGCUCAGCCAUACCAAUCAUCCUCCCAUGGUGUUGAUCCUGUAUAACACACUGAUUAGUAUGAAAUAGUAUACUGCAGCCUGACCCCCUUAUGAGUUCCCCUAGUGAGAUCAAAUUAUAGUGGAACAUGGGCACACAUAACACAUUCUGUAACACCAAAUCAGUAGACAAAUGCAUAGUCCCAAUAUGUGACACUUGUGCCUGGUGUCCAUUAGGUAAGUCUACAUGUAUUCCCUGCACUCUCUUGGAAACAUGUAAUAAAUGCAUACUACAAACAAUAUGGUGUGUAGCACCACUAUCAAGAAUCCACAAAGAUUUUGAAUCAUUAGAGUUAGCUGCUUUACCUUCCAUCUGAGCGUCAGAGAUAAAGUUUGCUGCUAUUGUGUUGGCAUGAGGAGUGGUAUCAAGGGGAGUAUUGCUGACCCUCUCCUUCUGCAUGAAUUCCAAGAACCUCUUGUUGUCCUCAUGAGUAGCAGGGGAAUUAUUUUCUAAACUGUCUGUCUCUUGCACAGAGGUCUGAAUUUGAUUAGCUGAUGCCACAUUUCUAUUUCUUGGCUUCCAACCGGGGGGUUACCAUGCUUUUUAUAGCAUCUUUCAAUGGUAUGCCCUGUAUAUCCACAAUAACUGCAUACAGGCCUUUGUUUUUGGUUGGGAAAGGAUCUCCUACUGUUAUUUUCUGACUUAGUAAAAAAGGCACUUGCCUCUGUAACAUCUCCCAGACUAUUAGAUCCAACACUGAUCUGUCUCUCUUGUUGUGAGAUCAUAGAAAAAGCUUCUCCAACAUCAGGAAGGGGUUUCAUCAACAUGAUUUGAUUUUUGGCAUGAACAUAGCUUUCAUUUAGGCCAAUAAGAAAAGAUGACAACAUAUCAUUUUCAAAAUGUGCCUUGACCAUUUCAGAUAGCUUAUUUCCACACUCACAGCUUGGGGAGCAUUUACAACCAGGGAUCGGUCUUAAAACAAGCAUUUCACCCCACAGCAGUUUCAGUUGUGUAAAAUACUCGUUUAUAAAUGAGUUACCUUGCUUGGUUUGGUGAAUCUGAGACUGGAUUUCUCCAAUGCGAAACACGUCUUGUUGACUGAAUCGCUUCUUCAAGUCCUUCCACACACCUUCUGCAGUGUUGAUCCAUAGUACACUUUGUCCUAUGGUAGGUGAAACAGCUCUGAGAAUCCAGGAUAGGACCAUUGUGUUGCACUGGUCCCAAUAGUAAUAUUUCUGAUCAAGUUCGCUUGGAAUCACCAUUGUUCCAUCUACAAUUCUUAAUUUGUUUUUGGAUCUCAACGCCAUUUCCAUGGCUCUCGCCCAGGGAUGGUAAUUCGACCUCCCUUCUAGACGCACAGUCACGAGUUGCAGAGCUGGACUUUCAUUGGGGUGAAGAUGAAGGGGGUUUGUUCGAUCAGCAGGAUCAAAGGCUCCAGUUGGGACGGGAACGGGCCUCGGAAUCGAAUUGGAGGUGCCUAUCUGAUUUCCGGCUUCAUCAACCUGCGGUGCGGACUGUCGAACCAUAUUAGCUGCCGGUGCACGCCACGCCAUUGUUUCUCUGCUCUGAUACCAUGUGAAGAAAGAGAGAGGGAAGCUAUGGCUAGAGGAAUGAGGAAGAAGAAUUAACAAAUCUAUUUUCACUGCUUCAAUGUUUACAGUUUACAGACUUUUUCUGAGGUUAAACUCAAGCAAUCCAUGUUCUUUAUGUGGUUGCAGUUGUUUCCAUAUCACCUUGAGGAGUAUAUAUGUUUGCCGCGUGAUGAGGGUGUCUCCUUUCAGAUACUACUGAGAUAUGAUAUUUGAAGUCAUGAAAAAUGGUAUCACUUCCUUGCUUGUAAUUUUAAAUGGUUUUACAAGUUCAGCAGUUUUGUAGUCAUAAUUCUAUGUAUAAGGUUUUCCAGGGUAGUGGUUACUCAAAUCUCCUUCAUUGGCUUUGGAGAGCAAUCUGCAACCUAAGGUGUGAAAAAUAGCACUUUAGCGCUGCUCAGUCCCAUAGUUGUUGCUCUCUUUCUCUCUCUUUUUAUUUUUAUUUUUAUUUUUGAGAUCAACUCAACUCAAUUAAGCCUAUUCCCAAUCCAGAUAGGUUGGCUUUAUUUCCUAUGAUGAUAUCAUAGAAAAACCAUUAGCACCUACAAACUGCAUUGCAUAUAAAGUUUCUCAAACAACCCCUUCAUUCAAGUUAAUUGUACAAAAAGGUUCAUUCAACUUUACUUUGGAAGAAUUUAAGAAACUGACAGAAGAAGAAAUGGCAACAAUUGAUAAAAUAUGUAAGGAGGAAGUGAAUUCCUUCAUUCUUUUUGACCCUGAAGUGAUAAAGGGACUUUAUCGACGGGGACUGGUCUAUUUUGAUGUUCCUGUCUAUCCCGAUGAUCGUUUUAAAGUUUCCAGGCUUGAAGGAUUUGUUUCAAAUAGGGAGCAACCCUAUGAAGAUCCUAUUGAAGAGUUGCUCUAUGCUGAAUUGGAAUUCCAAAGGAGGCCAAAUCCACGAGACCAUAUGAUAAACACUUGGGGUUGUCGAUAUUCAACAAUAAAUUUCUUUGCUCCUAUGAGUCGCUAUGCAAGUGCUGGUGGGGACCCGUUAAUGCUUCUAGGGAGUUCAAAGAAAUGGUCAAGGCUUUGCAUGAUGCGGGAAUAGAGGUCAUCUUAGAUGUUGUCUACAACCAUACAAAUGAAGCUGAUGACAAGAAUCCAUACACAACAUCAUUUCGUGGCAUUGACAACAAGCAUUUUUUGAAGAUACUUUUAUAGGUAUUUGGAACACUUUCAGAGUUGCUUCAGACCAUAGAGAUAAUCAAUACUGUCCAGAAAGUUAUUGCCGGUAAAGCACAGGAUAUGGUGAGGGUUAACUAGUCAUUUCCAGAACUUGGACUUGCGCUUACUGUCAAUCUCUGCAGGUAAAAUCUCCUAUAUUUGUUUUCCUUUGUAUUUGAAGUUGCUAUCUUAUGGAAUACAUUAUUGAAGCAGCUCCAAGGAAGAAGGCAGCAGCAGCUUCUGCUUGAAGUUCUUUGAGGGUGAAUCUAUGAAGUUUAGAUCAAGUUCUUUAGUUAGGCAAUCUAAUUAGACAUGUCUGGUUUCCACUCGGAUCACUUGUUGCAAAU